UAGGUCUACAGUCUAAGAAUAUUAUUUUACAUUAUUGUCAUGUCACUCAUAAAUCAUAUGCAUAACUUGAUAUAAAUUUCUAUGAAAUCAAUAGCUACCUAAAUUAUUUCCAUUAGUCAGUUUGUACUUUUUGUAGCAAUAUACUAAAAAGAGAUAUUAUUGAAGAACCGAAUAAACUAUAUUUCGCUCCAGGAUAUAUUCAAGGUAAUAUCGACGUUAUAAUAUCUUUAUUUUAUUAGGUACUUGUGUUUUAUAUUAAAAUAAAUAAAGAACCACCUAUACUAGUUGUGCAAUAGAGCUAAUUUAAUGUUAAUUUUUAGAAUUUAAAAAUUCUUGGUAAAUUCAAUUAUAAAUUAUUUACUUUUCCUGUUGAUUGUGUUCUUGAAACGAUUAUUAAAUUAUGCAUUUAUAAUAAAUAAAAUGAAAUUGUAAAUACUAUAUACAUUAUAUUGUACCCACCUAUUUGUACGUUAUUUAUUACAUGACUUUAACAGUGAAGUGACGAACAUUUAUGAACAAUAAUGCACAACAUAUUAUUAUAUUUGAGCACUUAGUGCCCUUCGUAAAAUACUCCGUUAUUAUUAUUAUUUGUUGGUUACUAUUCAUUAGGAGAAAUGUUAUAAUUAACUAACAAGGAAACUAAUUAGAUAGGUAUAUUUAAUUAAUUCUUCAACCUCUUUAUAUAUGUCACACGCUAAGUGGUAUAAACAAAUUACGCAUCAAAUAUUAAUGCCUCUGGCUUGACUAAAAUUUGGUACCUUUUUAGAUUGAUUUAAUUUAAUAAUUUAUAAUUAUAUACCACCUAUGGGUUUCUUGUAGAAAAGCAUGUACCUACAUAUUUAUCUGCAUUCAAUUAUAAUACUUGAUAGUUGAUUAAAGGCAAAUAAUAUAAAUAGGUACAUUAUUAUUGAUAUUGUUUAUUACUAAAUACUAAAUUCCUAUUGUUGACGUUCUUUUAAGUAAUCUACGCUCACCCUACAAUAAUAUAAACUAUGACGCCUAGGCGUACUGAAAACCCUUUCGCCACGCCACUGAUAUAAAACAUAAUUUAUAAUUUGUUCGUAAUAUUAAGUUUAAAAAAUUCAAUGUUCACAGAUUCGCCGUAUUGAUUUACCUCUUUAUUAUAACUACUAACAAGACUGGGAAUAAUGGAGGAAUUAAGAAAAGCUUUGAAAUACCAGGCGAGCUUAUACAAUGCAGAUACGGCUUUUGUCAGUAUAUCAACUUUAGAAAUAGAUAGAAAAUAUAAAAUUAACGAUAUAUCCAAAGUUCAGUCAAGGUAUGGUUUGCGUAUUUUGGUUAGUCUUCAAGGUGAUCGAAGAAUAUUGAAAACAUAUUUACCUAAAUCCAUAAAGUUAAGUGAUGCCUACAUUAAUGAUUUUAUGAAUCGCGAUAAAAUGUCGGCUUUAUAUUUAAUUUACAAAGGGAGAAAAACAAACGGGGCAUAUAAAAUCGAUUUUGAGUAGCUAUAUUAUUAUAAAUAUACUGAAGCUUAUUGAG